UCUCUCUCUAACUUAAACCCUCUCUCUCCAAACCAAACUCUGGCCUCCGUGGAAACAUCCAAACACACUUAGUCUCACCUAAAAGAUCUACACGACCAAGACAAAGAUGAACUUGAUGAACACUAUGAAGGUUAUGUGGAUGAGUUGCAGUAACAAACUCGUGAUGUUGAUGGGAUGAUGAUGGUAUGCAAUAUGGCUUGGGAUGAUGAAAGCAGACUGCAACUGUGAAGCAAGGGAUUUCCUGUUACUCAACAAUAAACUCAUUUCUUUUUCCUUCGUUUUAUAUUUUCUAUUUUAUUAAAAUGUAUGUAAUUUAUGUGAUGAAGGUAUCAUUGUAAUGUAUGAUUGACCCAAUGUAAAAAACAAGUUUACUCAAAAUGAAAAUGUAGUCUCUGCUCUUCAUUCCAAUGUGUGUAUGUCAUGCAAUCCUUUUGAAUU